rnacentral:rRNA from 1 species
UAGGGAAUAUUGGUCAAUGGGCGAGAGCCUGAACCAGCCAUGCCGCGUGCAGGAAGACGGCCUUCUGGGUUGUAAACUGCUUUUAUCAGGGAACAAAAAGCUCCUGCGGGAGAAAUUGCGUGUACCUGAAGAAUAAGCACCGGCUAACUCCGUGCCAGCAGCCGCGGUAAUACGGAGGGUGCAAGCGUUGUCCGGAUUUAUUGGGUUUAAAGGGUGCGUAGGUGGUUGUAUAAGUCAGUGGUGAAAGCCUGCAGCUCAACUGCAGAAUUGCCAUUGAUACUGUAUAACUUGAGUACAGACGAGGUAGGCGGAAUUUAUGGUGUAGCGGUGAAAUGCAUAGAUACCAUAAAGAACACCGAUAGCGAAGGCAGCUUACUAGACUGUAACUGACACUGAUGCACGAAAGCGUGGGGAGCGAACAGGAUUAGAUACCCCCGUAGUCC